rnacentral:rRNA from 1 species
GGGGAAUAUUGCACAAUGGGCGCAAGCCUGAUGCAGCAACGCCGCGUGAGGGAUGAAGGCCUUCGGGUUGUAAACCUCUUUUAGUAGGGAAGAAGCGAAAGUGACGGUACCUGCAGAAAAAGCACCGGCUAACUACGUGCCAGCAGCCGCGGUAAUACGUAGGGUGCAAGCGUUGUCCGGAAUUAUUGGGCGUAAAGAGCUCGUAGGCGGCUUGUCGCGUCUGCUGUGAAAUCCCGGGGCUCAACCCCGGGCCUGCAGUGGGUACGGGCAAGCUAGAGUGCGGUAGGGGAGAUUGGAAUUCCUGGUGUAGCGGUGGAAUGCGCAGAUAUCAGGAGGAACACCGAUGGCGAAGGCAGAUCUCUGGGCCGCUACUGACGCUGAGGAGCGAAAGCAUGGGGAGCGAAC